CUACUGUUAAUAGCUUUGGAGAGAUUUCUGAUUUCACAAUUCGAUGUAGUGUUGAUGUUACGGUUAACAUCUGGAGAUCAAAAUCGUGUUAAAAUGUCAUUGUCUGCUGUUGUAAUUUACUGGCGCUGCUUAAAUAUUCUUCAUCCUGCAGUGAUCCAGUGAGGACGUUGACCCGAGCCUCCUGUGAUAUUGCCGGUUUUGAACGCAGAGAACGAGAGCUGCAGAGGUUUGUCACUGCAAUGCUGCUGCAGGAAAGAUGCAGGGAUCUGAAGGCUGUUUAUUCCUCUGCCUCCAAACAAAGAGCCCGGGUAGCCUGAGUGUGAUCAAUCUUUCCAGCCAAAAAGGUCUGACAGCUCUCUGCCAGAGAACACAGCUGAACCAUCCAACACUCAUAUGGUGCCAGGAAGAGCGCAGCCGCGCUGGCUCUGGGGCUCUGGCUUUAUUUUAGUUUCUUUUAAAGACUAUUAUCAAGAAAUUACAAACUUUUUAUUUGGAAUCCACGUGCGUUUUAGAGAGAUAAAACUUCUUCUUUAUUUGUCGAUUACAAAAGACGGGAAUUAUAUAUUUUUUUUAAAAUGGAGGUGAUAACUGGACUGUCAAUUUUUUUUAUUUUUUUUUUUUGCAAGGAACGGAGCAGCUUUUGUCAUUAAGGAUCAAUUGUUCGCUGAGACGUUUUCCGGGCGGACCAGGGAGCGCCCCGUUUCCCGUCUGCUCUGGAGACAUCUGGGAGGCAAAGAGGCCAAAAAAAAACUGCAGCCACGCAUCCACACGGACACAGAGUCUUUUUAAAGCGAUGAUAUUUCUGUCACCAUGCAGGCGCAGAUGUUAUUGUCAUUCUAAGUAAUAAAAAAACAGCAAAUCUGAAAU